rnacentral:rRNA from 1 species
UUGCACGCUGGCGGCAUGCUUUACACAUGCCCGUCGAACGGUAACAGGCCGCAAGGUGCUGACGAGUGGCGAACGGGUGAGUAAUGCAUCGGAACGUGCCCAGUCGUGGGGGAUAACUACUCGAAAGAGUAGCUAAUACCGCAUACGAUCUAUGGAUGAAAGCGGGGGACCGUAAGGCCUCGCGCGAUUGGAGCGGCCGAUGUCAGAUUAGGUAGUUGGUGGGGUAAAGGCUCACCAAGCCAACGAUCUGUAGCUGGUCUGAGAGGACGACCAGCCACACUGGGACUGAGACACGGCCCAGACUCCUACGGGAGGCAGCAGUGGGGAAUUUUGGACAAUGGGCGCAAGCCUGAUCCAGCAAUGCCGCGUGCAGGAAGAAGGCCUUCGGGUUGUAAACUGCUUUUGUACGGAACGAAACGGCUCUGGUUAAUACCCGGGGCUAAUGACGGUACCGUAAGAAUAAGCACCGGCUAACUACGUG